AAUAAAUGUAGUUUAGUACUAUUCACGUUCAACGUUUCACCGUUCGUCUUGUUUGAAAUUUUUUAUGAUUAGUAUUUUUAUUGCUAUUAGAUGAUAAAACAUGAAUAAUACUUUAUGUGUGACUAAAUAUUUUCAAAUUUUUCAUAAAAUUUUCAAAUAAGACGGACGGUCAAACGUGGACAUGGAUAUCUACGGCUGUACUUAUU
rfam:Oryza rufipogon genomic scaffold, chr03